GCGGCGGACGGGUGAGUAAUGCCUAGGARAUUGCCCUGAUGUGGGGGAUAACCAUUGGAAACGAUGGCUAAUACCGCAUGAUGCCUACGGGCCAAAGAGGGGGACCUUCGGGCCUCUCGCGUCAGGAUAUGCCUAGGUGGGAUUAGCUAGUUGGUGAGGUAAGGGCUCACCAAGGCGACGAUCCCUAGCUGGUCUGAGAGGAUGAUCAGCCACACUGGAACUGAGACACGGUCCAGACUCCUACGGGAGGCAGCAGUGGGGAAUAUUGCACAAUGGGCGCAAGCCUGAUGCAGCCAUGCCGCGUGUGUGAAGAAGGCCUUCGGGUUGUAAAGCACUUUCAGUCGUGAGGAAGGYRGUGUAGUUAAUAGCUGCAUYRUUUGACGUUAGCGACAGAAGAAGCACCGGCUAACUCCGUGCCAGCAGCCGCGGUAAUACGGAGGGUGCGAGCGUUAAUCGGAAUUACUGGGCGUAAAGCGCAUGCAGGUGGUUUGUUAAGUCAGAUGUGAAAGCCCGGGGCUCAACCUCGGAAUUGCAUUUGAAACUGGCAGACUAGAGUACUGUAGAGGGGGGUAGAAUUUCAGGUGUAGCGGUGAAAUGCGUAGAGAUCUGAAGGAAUACCGGUGGCGAAAGCGGCCCCCUGGACAGAUACUGACACUCAGAUGCG
rnacentral:rRNA from 1 species